UGGCGAAAGAUAAACAGGCCGAGUGGCACGGCCUUGUCCGCGAACGAGUGGUGGAUGCCAGCGUUUACAUUCCAUUAAACGUUGGUCUAUCGCCACUCGAACAGCAACCGUCUCAUUUGCCCUGUGCCG